GACGAACGCUGGCGGCGUGCCUAAUACAUGCAAGUCGAACGAGAGCGACCGGUGCUUGCACUGGUCAAUCUAGUGGCGAACGGGUGAGUAACACGUGGGUAACCUGCCCAUCAGAGGGGGAUAACAUUCGGAAACGGAUGCUAAAACCGCAUAGGUCCUUUAACCGCAUGGUUGAAGGAGGAAAAGAGGCGCAAGCUUCUGCUGAUGGAUGGACCCGCGGUGCAUUAGCUAGUUGGUGAGGUAACGGCUCACCAAGGCCGUGAUGCAUAGCCGACCUGAGAGGGUGAUCGGCCACAUUGGGACUGAGACACGGCCCAAACUCCUACGGGAGGCAGCAGUAGGGAAUCUUCCGCAAAGGACGCAAGUCUGACGGAGCAACGCCGCGUGAGUGAAGAAGGUUUUCGGAUCGUAAAACUCUGUUGUUAGAGAAGAACAAGUGCUAGAGUAACUGUUAGCGCCUUGACGGUAUCUAACCAGAAAGCCACGGCUAACUACGUG
rnacentral:rRNA from 1 species